rnacentral:rRNA from 1 species
UACGGAGGGUGCAAGCGUUAUCCGGAUUUACUGGGUUUAAAGGGUGCGUAGGUGGGUAGGUAAGUCAGUGGUGAAAUCUCCGAGCUUAACUCGGAAACUGCCAUUGAUACUAUUUAUCUUGAAUAUCCUGGAGGUGAGCGGAAUAUGUCAUGUAGCGGUGAAAUGCUUAGAUAUGACAUAGAACACCAAUUGCGAAGGCAGCUCACUACGGGGUCAUUGACACUGAGGCACGAAAGCGUGGGGAUCAAACAGG